GUCUACUUCCAUAAUACUCUCAACAUGCCUGAUCUUAUCUGAUCUUGGAAGCUAAGCAGGGUCGGGCCUGGUUAGGACUUGGAUGGGAGACAAAGAAGACC
rnacentral:rRNA from 1 species